GAAAAAGGAAAAACAAGAAUCAGGUUCGACUUCUAAUCCUUCUUCGUUUACCAUUCUUGAGCAGAAAAAUGAAGAACUUAUCUGUGUUUCUAGUUUAACAUCUACUGCAUUGUACUUCUCCCUUCACUUCCUCAAAACCCUAUCUUUCAGAUUUAUCUCCUGUUUGUUUCCCCAGAAAAUACUUCCCUAAAGCCCUUUAUUUUUUGUUUUUUAUUCUCCUUCAGUUUACAAAAGGUAGAAUGAUUCUAAUUCAGUGCCAGAAAAUGUGAAAUUAAGCAGUCACACAGUUUGUCUGGGUUGACUCGUUGUUUAACUCAGUUAUGUUAGAAAUUAUAAAAUUCUCUGCUUUUAGAGGUAUAGGCGAGAGGCCCAACUUAAUUGAGUCGUCUCUGAAGCUUUUCUUGCGGCCACUCAAUUUAAUUCCAAGUACUUUGAAGCAUGGAUUUGUUUUAAGUGAUUAAUAGGUGCCAGCUUAUUACUUUUUUACUGGGUUGAUCUUCUUAGCUUGUCACUUGUCAGAAUCCGACCCGUGAUUAGUCUAGAAAAUGAAACUUGCAACUUUAUGGGCUAAGCCAUUCCCAAAUCACAACCUUCUAAUUUGUUGCCGGAAUAUGAUUCUGUGCAAAGCAGUGAAAACCGGAAAAAUUAUUGUUAUUGUAUCAGAAAAUUUAGUUUGCAUGGUUUUUUAGUGCUUUACUGAAGGUUUAUUUGUAUUCAGAUCUUGAGUAAUCAUUUUAGCCGUUUUCUUGAUUUGUUAGCUUAGCUAGAAUGCCAGCUUAUGAUUUUAAUUUAUUUUAUUUUUGUUGUUCUUUUUAGCUAAUAUCAAAUAUAUUAUACAUGAGUUUCACACUUGAUACUUGCAGAGAACUUGUGGUGUGGAAGCU
rnacentral:misc_RNA from 1 species